CCAGAGCACCAGUACCAGACUAGUACCAGCACCACUACUACCACUACCACUACCACCACCACCACCACUACUACCACUACCACCACUAGCGACAGCAGCAGCAGCAGCAGCAGCAGCACUAAUACGUCCUAUCUCCUCACACCAAAGAGUAUCCAAUUUUAGCGGGUUGUCUCUGACAAAACGCCGACGACGACGAGUAGUAUGCGCAUUCGCUCGGCCACUUUGCCCAAGGAGAGAAAUUCGAGACCUCGUCAAUAGCGAAGAAGAGAACCGAACGACGUCCACUUUCCGUCUGCGACGACGAACGAGAUAACCGAGACGAAUCGGAAAAGGAGGUGGAGGAGGAGGAGGAGGGCAAGAGAGAGGGAGGAUAAAGGAGAGGAAAGGAAGGGGAAGGUGGAGGAGGACAAGGAAGAGAAAGGAAAGAAAUGCGGUCGCGCUAGUACGGAGGUACGGAGGAAGAUACGGAUGAAGGGAGGGAGAGAGGGAAGAAACAGAGAGGGGUGAACCGAAAGUGCGGCGACUCGUCACCUGAUUGCAGUCGCCCGCGUGUGCGCCGUCUUCCUCUUUCUAUCUCUUUCUAUACCUUUCUCUCUCUCUCUCUCUCUCUCUUUCUCCUCUCUCUAUACGUAUUUAUAUGUAUAUAUAUAUAUAUCUUUCUCUCUUCGUUUUCUAUCGCAGCGGACGAGUCGUCCUCUGGACGGUUCCAUCUUUGACUCACAAUAUUUUUCUUUCCUUACUCGAAAUGUUUUUGUUCAACUUUUCAAAUAAAUAAAAAAAAAAAAAAAAAAAAAAAGAAAAAAAAAAAAGGAAAAAGAAAAAAGAAGAAUAAUAAAGAAAAAAGAAAGAAAGAAAGAAAGAAAAAACACUUAUAGUACUUUACAAAUGUAUGAUAUGAAUGAUUAGGGAAACACUCCGAAGAUGAUUCAUUGAUAGAUUACUACGACGAUGCGCUUCGCGGUCCGUGAUCGUCUGAUUGUGAAACAAGAAGAUCGAAAGAGAACGAGUGUGUGCAUAUUCCUGGUGACCUAGCCGCCUUAGGCGCCAACGGUCAACCAAUCAGAAAUCUACUUUUUCUCUCCUCCUUGUACGUCGACCAAUCGGAAAGCUUUGUACGCGCCCGCGCCACGAACGACGAAGCUCACUUGAUUGGUUCGUACUUAGAUCAUAUAUUUCUUAUAAUACUGUUUUUCUUUCUUUCCCUGUUUUUUUUUCCUUUCUUCUUCUUCUUCUUCUUCUUUAUUUUUUUUCUUUUCGAGAAAUUCAAUUUUAAUUUUAGAAACGAUUAUUUGAAUUUAACGUUAACGUAAUAACACCAUUGAUGUGUUAUAAUAUUGUAAUAUUUUAAUUAUGAUGUUUCUUUGAAGAUGAAAAAAUAUUUGAAAAGAAAAAAAAAAAAAAAAGAAUGAAAGAAAGAGAGAAAGAAAAAAAAUUUGCAAUAUUCAGGAAAGAGGAAAAAUUGGAUGAAGUCAGAAGAGAUCAAAGCGAUUUAAAUGGCAAAGUUUCUUUGUACUACGAGCGUCAAUUAUUUCGUUUGUUUAUCGAGAAAAUAAGUCGAUAUCUUACGAUUUAGCAUCAUCGUCUUCGACUAAAGAUAUUUCCUUUGAAAUGUAUAAUUUCUGAUAAUAAAACGAAUUUUUUAUUA